CCUACGGGAGGCAGCAGUGGGGAAUCUUGCGCAAUGGGCGAAAGCCUGACGCAGCCAUGCCGCGUGAAUGAUGAAGGUCUUAGGAUUGUAAAAUUCUUUCACCGGGGACGAUAAUGACGGUACCCGGAGAAGAAGCCCCGGCUAACUUCGUGCCAGCAGCCGCGGUAAUACGAAGGGGGCUAGCGUUGCUCGGAAUUACUGGGCGUAAAGGGCGCGUAGGCGGACAUUUAAGUCAGGGGUGAAAUCCCAGAGCUCAACUCUGGAACUGCCUUUGAUACUGGGUGUCUUGAGUGUGAGAGAGGUAUGUGGAACUCCGAGUGUAGAGGUGAAAUUCGUAGAUAUUCGGAAGAACACCAGUGGCGAAGGCGACAUACUGGCUCAUUACUGACGCUGAGGCGCGAAAGCGUGGGGAGCAAACAGGAUUAGAUACCCUAGUAGUC
rnacentral:rRNA from 1 species